CGACCGGCGCACGGGUGAGUAACGCGUAUGCAACCUGCCCGAUACCGGGGUAUAGCCCAUGGAAACGUGGAUUAACACCCCAUAGUACUUUUAUCCUGCAUGGGAUGUGAGUUAAAUGUUCAAGGUAUCGGAUGGGCAUGCGUCCUAUUAGUUAGUUGGCGGGGUAACAGCCCACCAAGACGAUGAUAGGUAGGGGUUCUGAGAGGAAGGUCCCCCACAUUGGAACUGAGACACGGUCCAAACUCCUACGGGAGGCAGCAGUGAGGAAUAUUGGUCAAUGGACGUAAGUCUGAACCAGCCAAGUCGCGUGAGGGAAGACUGCCCUAUGGGUUGUAAACCUCUUUUAUAAGGGAAGAAUAAGUUCUACGUGUAGAAUGAUGCCUGUACCUUAUGAAUAAGCAUCGGCUAACUCCGUGCCAGCAGCCGCGGUAAUACGGAGGAUGCGAGCGUUAUCCGGAUUUAUUGGGUUUAAAGGGUGCGUAGGCGGUUUAUUAAGUUAGUGGUUAAAUAUUUGAGCUAAACUCAAUUGUGCCAUUAAUACUGGUAAACUGGAGUACAGACGAGGUAGGCGGAAUAAGUUAAGUAGCGGUGAAAUGCAUAGAUAUAACUUAGAACUCCGAUAGCGAAGGCAGC
rnacentral:rRNA from 1 species